UAGAAACCAGUCAAUAAGGACUAAGGUCUGAUCAACAGAAGUCAGGAGGAGGGAGGAAAUAAAAUGAAAGGCAUUGACAGAGUUAAAAGACGAGCUAAGGUCAAGGGCAGUCAACAAGAUUUCAGAACCUGCAUCAAGAUGGAAAGGGUGAAAGCUCCCAAAUUCUUCUACUGUGCAGUCCCUGACACCAAGUGGACAAACUGAGGAACUUCAUUUCUAACACAACAACUGUACAUACAAUCAUUUAUUGGCAAGUGGAAAAUAAGAGGGUCCUGGACAAAUAGGACUCAAACAGUUCAUGAGGAAAACUACAAAUGUUAUUACCAACGAAGGAAUGAUGAAGUUUCAAUAAAAUGUUGUUUACAGCUAUAGCCAACGGCUGUCGGGCAUGCAGGGAGUUGUUGUUUUGCAACAGCUGGAGGCGCACUAUUUGGAAAACACU